rnacentral:lncRNA from 1 species
AGCCAGCAACCUUGGAUUUCCCCACCUGCCUCGCAGAGUUCCAGUGCCAGCCUUGACGGCUAACAGAGAGGAACGAGCAAAACACCAGACCUGCAGCUACCUACUGGGCCGAUUCAGUAGAUGAGAUGGGCCUCGCACCAAUAAAAGGCCCGUAGAGUUUCGGAUGUAGCUAUUCGUUCCCACUUUUUUCCCCUCAAAAUAAUAAUAAUAAAAAAGCUAUUCGUU